CGGAGGGUCCAAGCGUUAUCCGGAAUCAUUGGGUUUAAAGGGUCCGUAGGCGGUUUUGUAAGUCAGUGGUGAAAGCCCAUCGCUCAACGGUGGAACGGCCAUUGAUACUGCAAGACUUGAAUUAUUAGGAAGUAACUAGAAUAUGUAGUGUAGCGGUGAAAUGCUUAGAGAUUACAUGGAAUACCAAUUGCGAAGGCAGGUUACUACUAAUGGAUUGACGCUGAUGGACGAAAGCGUGGGGAGCGAACAGGAUUAGAUACCCUGGUAGUCCACGCCGUAAACGAUGGAUACUAGCUGUUCGGAGCAAUCUGAGUGGCUAAGCGAAAGUGAUAAGUAUCCCACCUGGGGAGUACGUUCGCAAGAAUG
rnacentral:rRNA from 1 species